UUUAGACCCCGUAGUGUCCAAGAACACAGCCUAAACUCCUGAUCCUUCACCCGUUUGCACCUUAGCACAGUAUGUAGUAUGCAAGCAACAACCUUCUGCCUCCUUUCUCCAAAGAUGCUUUUGAGGCGAACUUAAAGGCAGCCGAUUAAUCUUUUAUUUUAAAUGAAUUACAUAGCACUUAUUCUUCUAUAGAUUUUUUUUUUUUUUUUUUUUUUUUUUUUUUUAAUGAGUAAACAAAGCAUGGGUCAAUUUCUUCAUCAGAAGGGGUCAGUUACAGUUUGCUUGGUUAUAUAAGCCAGCAUUGCGUAACAUACUGUCAACUGUCCAGUUGUUGAUCAACAUGAUAAAGCAAAUCCCUGGGACAUGCGUCUCUGGAUAAGACUCAAAUAAGUGUGCAUGUUUCUGAGUGUCAGUGCAUGCUAAAUUAGACAGAUGGUGGUUGUCAGACAGGUCUAUGCAUUAACUGGCAUUAGUUCACAGUGCUUCUGGUCAUUCUACCCAUUCCUCUUAAUUUCUGCCUCUAACGAUGGAGUCAACACUUUUUUGGCCCACUGUUUGGCAAUUCAGGGCCGAUAUAUGACACAUAUGUUAGACAUAUUACAACAUAUGUUAGACAUAAUUGUCAGCAAAUGUAAGCAAUGUGUUAGUGUAUUCAAGUCUUGUCAGAAAGAUCAUAUUUACAAAUUAACGGACAUGAACGUCACUACCAAGUCAUAAUUAUUGGUGGGAAACUCUUAAGUUUAUGAGUUGUGGGCGUGUAGGGCGCAGUGGAUUCAGCGUCUGUAUAAAUGGUAAAUGUUUUUUUUAUGAAUAUUUACAACAAAACUACAAACAACAACAAAAUUUGCAUGCACAAAAUACCAUAGUAUUGUACAAUUAAUAUAAUAUAUAUAAAAUUUAAGUUUACAGCACCUUUAUAAAUUGAGUAAAAACAUAAAGCAAAAACACAUUUGAUGCCCAUUAUUCAUAAUUUUGUAGGUGUAGACUUUAAAAAACCUUUUUAAUUUUUGUUAAAAAUGUAUAUCGGCAUCUUGUUCUGAUUGAAGUGAUUUGAGCACACCUGACAUCGUAAAUACGACUUCACAACUCGUAAAUGCGAAUGUCCAAAGACUUGAACGCAUUUCUAGUUGAAGUGACUAUUAUCAGCUCUUUGAUUGGCUGAUUGGCAAGAAAAUGCACAGACUCAAGCCAUACUUCACAGUUCAGUAAAUAAAUGAAUAAAUAAACAAACAGUCACUGGCAAAAAAAUGUAUAAUUCAUAUUAGAAAUAGAAAUAUUUUCAAUUUUUUUUUUCAUUAGAAUAUACAGCUACUUUUUAAUAGUCGUCAACGAGAAAAAAUGCUUUUUACAUCUACCAGUUAGGACUAACGUCAUGCUAACCAGCCUAUAUACUAAGGGGGCAUUUACACAACACUUUUUUAUGCAUUUUGGCCAUUCAUUUACACAAUAACAGAAUUUUGGGGGCCUGUAAAUGCAAACUUUUGAAAACAGGUUUCAACUGUUUUUUCAAAACAGUUUUCAUUGCCGUGUAAACUACAACAUAUGAAUUUAUGAAAAUGGUGAUGUCAUGUGCAUGCGUGGGAUGUGUUUAUAGGCGCAUAGUGUUUCUUUACAAAGUGGCAUCGACAUCUACUGGUCUGUCAGCAGAUUACAGCUUUUUUUUUUUUUUUUCCAAGGAUUCAUGCAAACGGGGAACAUUUUACGUUUUUAGUACAUCGUUGUAAUGUAAACAUACUCAGUCUCUGAAUAUUCAAUGCCACUUUCAACCAGUGUUUCCCAUUUUUCAUAAAAUGGGAAACCUAGGAAUGGCUCAUUGAUAGUCUCUGCACAUAAAACUUGUAUAGGAUAAGUGUUUUAACAACAAAAAAACAUCACCUUUCACUCUUUUUGAGUUUCUGUCCUACUAUAAUGCCACUCAAACCAACUUCUCUCCCAUUGAAUUGUUUUAAUGCAGUCUCUUUUGUAAAAAAAUGUUUUUUACAAAAGAGACUGCAUUAAAAAAAAAUUGCCUUGUCAGAUUGAGUCCGAGUUCAUAGUUUAGUGUGAGCGUGUGCAAGAUAAUAUUAGUGCUUGGAUGAUGGUGAAUCUCAUCUUCUGUGGGUUAAGAUACAGAAAUACCACCUCAUUAAUUCAAUCAUAGCUCAUUUUUCAACACCCAAAAGUCUUUUUUCUGGCCUGUUGAUGGUCCACACAAUUACUAAUGGUCUGCUGGAUCUCUGAACUGAAACAUGACUUUUGUUCCACCGCGAUUAAUCAAACCGUGGUGGAGGAGCUUUAGGUUCACAGGUUAAAGCUCAUUUAGCAUGCAGUCGCUCUGUAUUAUUACAUCUGAAACAGAGUCGAGGGUGAACUCAUUUUGCAGGGUUUUACUUCAGAGAUAAUAUAGAUAGUGUUCUGUGACCCUCUAUUGCACAAUAUUGUCUAUAUAAAUAGACAUUUAUAAUGUUACAAAAAUAUUUCAAAUAAAUGCUGUUCUUUUGAAUUAGCAUAACUGUUUUCAACAUUGAUAAUCAGAAAUUAUUCUUGAGCAGCAAAUCGGCAUAUCAGAAUGAUUUCUGAAGGAUCAUGUGACACUGAAGACUGGAGUAAUGAUGCUGAAAAUUCAGCUUUGAUUACAGGAAUAAAUUACAUUUUAUGUAUCCACAUAGAAAACGGAUAUUUGAAAUUGUAGUAUUUCUUAAUAUUACUGUUUUUACUGAUCAAAUAAAUGCAGCUUUGGUGAGCAGAAGAGACUUCUUUAAAAAGCAUUAAAAACUCUUUCCGACCCCAAACAUUUGAAUGUUGUGUUAAAGCCAAACUAUAAAUCUUCUGAUUUCAUCUGUCUCAGAUAGUGCAGACUUUACAGAUAUCCAUCGCUCGGUUUUGCUCUGUGGUGAAGCAGGCUGUAGGGUUGAAUCAUGUCUCCCUCUCCCUGUACUUUCAUUCAGGAGUUUGGCAACAGGGCUGUGGUAGUUUUCUGGCCAUAGUUUGAUCUCAGAAAUGUGGCACAGCUGUAACACCGUUUGUGUGCUUGACUCCGGAGUCAAUGGAGACGCAGGUGUCCAUCACGCUCUCAACCACACCACAAUGUGCCUUAGGGAACGUAAUGCUGCCGAUCUGUGCGCUCCGGUGUGGACACAGUGGGAAUGAUCUCAUUUUGGAGAUUGAAAGGAACAUGUUGCAGCCUAAAGGAUGCUUGUAUUAGAGCAUAUUCCUACAAGAAUCAAAUGAUUUGAGACACUUUGAUUGCUGCAGCAGCACAAUGGGAACCUGCUUUAAAGACACUCAGAAGUGGAGGAGCUUGUUUGAUUAUCAAGUGAAUUCCUGCUGGGGAAAUAGAGCAGAUUCAUAAUGUCAACAUGCUCUGAAUAUCUGUAAAUGUUAGGAUCAGUAGAAUGAUUUUUUUGUUUGUUUGUUUUACAGUUGAAUCACAAAAAGCAUAUGAGGGUUAAACCGUUUUUUUUUUUUUUUUUUUUUAAGACUUAUUGCGUGUGGCGGAGACAGUUUGAUUGAGAAUCUCUUCAAAAAUGAGCAAAAAGACCAACUUUUUAUUUUUAUUAGUAGGACUGUCAUUGAAACAAAAUAUAGUUUGAAUAAUAUUAUGCAUCUAAUUGUUGAUUGUUGUAUAUGCAUUUAGAGGGGGUAAAGUUAAUAAAAAAAUAAGUUCACAGUAGAUGAAAUUGUAUAUAAAUGGAGAAGAAGCACUUUAUUUAUUUAUGCUGGUCAGUAGAACUUGGGUUUCAUUGUGAUUUUUCAUUCAAACAUCAUCUGUUCACGCAUUGCAUAUCCAUCUGCUUGCUCCUUAUCGGUCCGAUCUGAAAUUUGUGAAUGAAUGAGUAACACCGGACCCUCAGGGACGCUCUUUGUAAACAUUUACUUAACGCCAGCACAGCAAUACAGCACUGUUUCACGUGCAAAAAUCCAGUUAAAGCUAUCACAGAUUGCACUGUUAAAUGUGUGAGAUGAACAUAUGGAAAGUAGAUGUAAAGUGGGACAGUUGAGCUCAUCUAUCAUUAUGUAAAUAUUCUUGGGAAUGGGAUGGUGCUUAUGUAAGCAUUUUUACCAUCUUAUAACCAACAGCCAUGAAGUUUCAGAAUGUGUCUCACUUUACCUGGAUUCAAAGUGAUCUGAACUGACUGGAUUUCAUUAAAAAAAUCGCCACCUC